rnacentral:rRNA from 1 species
UGGGGAAUAUUGCACAAUGGGGGAAACCCUGAUGCAGCGACGCCGCGUGAGCGAUGAAGGCUUUCGAGUCGUAAAGCUCUGUCCUAUGGGAAGAUAAUGACGGUACCAUAGAAGAAAGCCCCGGCUAAUUACGUGCCAGCAGCCGCGGUAAUACGUAAGGGGCGAGCGUUGUCCGGAAUUAUUGGGCGUAAAGGGUACGUAGGCGGUCUAUUAAGUCAGGUGUGAAAGCGUGAGGCUUAACCUCAUUAAGCACUUGAAACUGAUAGACUUGAGUGAAGGAGAGGAAAGUGGAAUUCCUAGUGUAGCGGUGAAAUGCGUAGAUAUUAGGAGUAAUACAUGUGGCGAACGCGACUUUCUGGACUUUUACUGUCGCUCAGGUACGAAAGCGUGGGGAGCAAACAGG